UACAGGGGGUGCAAACGUUGCUCGGAAUUAUUGGGCGUAAAGCGCGCGUAGGCGGCUACUUAAGUCGGAUGUGAAAGCCCCUGGCCCAACUGGGGAAGUGCACCCGAAACUGAGUGGCUUGAGUACUAAAGAGGGUCGCGGAAUUCCCGGUGUAGAGGUGAAAUUCGUAGAUAUCGUAAGGAAGACCAGUGGCGAAGGCGGGUCUCUGGACAGUUCCUGACGCUGAGGCGCGAAAGCGUGGGGAGCAAACGGG
rnacentral:rRNA from 1 species